GUCUCCGCAUCGAGCCCUUGCGCACGACGGAGGGCGGCCCAUGGUCUGUGGGUCGGAUGUCUGGCGGUCACACCCGCCGGGAAGAUCUUCUGGCGGAAACAGAAUCUGCUCCUUUCGGGAAAGGCUGAUUGCGCGGUUACGUGCAGCGUGUGUUGAGGAGUGGCUCUGGAAACUUAAAGAGCCCGACGAUCAAGUGAUCUUGCCAACUACCGUUUUAAUCAGCAUGUUUUAUUUUGUUGUGGUACAGGCUCAGGCCAACAGAAACCACGUUUAUGGCUCAGAGGAUAAGUGCACUGACUAUUCCGGAGGUUCUGAGUUUAAUUCUCAGCAACCACAUGGUGGCUCACAACCAUGGGAUCCGAUGCCCUCUUCCGGUGUGUCAGCUACAGUGAAGACAGCUACAGUGUACUCAUACAUAAAAUAAAUAUUUUUUAAAAAGGA
rnacentral:lncRNA from 1 species